UACAGAGGUCUCAAGCGUUGUUCGGAUUCAUUGGGCGUAAAGGGUGCGUAGGUGGCGGGGUAAGUCAGGUGUGAAAUCUCAGGGCUCAACCCUGAAACUGCAUUCUAUACUGCUUGGCUAGGGUACUGGAGAGGAGACUGGAAUUUACGGUGUAGCAGUGAAAUGCGUAGAUAUCGUAAGGAAGACCAGUGGCGAAGGCGAGUCUCUGGACAGUUACCGACGCUGAGGCACGAAGGUCAGGGGAGCAAACGGG
rnacentral:rRNA from 1 species